CGGACACGAGGAACCCGGUGGGAAGCCGGGGGGACCACCCCCCAAGCCUAAAUACUACCUGAUGACCGAUAGUGAAAAGUACAGUGAUGGAAAGUUGAAAAGAACCCCGGAAGGGGAGUGAAAAAGAAUCUGAAACCCUAUGUUUACAAGCUGCUAAAGCACUAUAUAUGUGCGAUAGCGUACUUUUUGUAGAACGGUCCGGCGAGUGUAUGUUGCAAGCGAGGUUAAGGUGUUAAGCACUGAAGCCGAAGGGAGACCGAGUGUGAAUAGCGCGUACAGUUUGCAGUAUACGACCCGAAACCGGGUGACCUAACCAUGGACAGGUUGAAGUGGAAGUAAAAUUCCAUGGAGGACCGAACCCACGUCUGUUGAAAAAGGCGGGGAUGAGCUGUGGUUAGCGGUGAAAUUCCAAUCGAACUCGGAUAUAGCUGGUUCUCAUCGAAAUAGCUUUAGGGCUAGCCUCAGGAUAGUUUAGCGGAGGUAAAGCACUGAAUGGGCUAGGGGGCUUCACGGCUUACCGAACCCUAUCAAACUCUGAAUGCCGCAUAAAUGUUUCCUGGGAGUCAGACUGCGUGAGAUAAGUUUCGUAGUCAAAAGGGAAAGAGCCCAGACCUACAGCUAAGGUCCCUAAAUGAAUUUAAGUGGAAAAGGAUGUGCAGUUGCGUAGACAACUAGGACGUUGGCUUAGAAGCAGCCACUCAUUUAAAGAGUGCGUAAUAGCUCACUAGUCGAGUGAUUGUGCGCCGAAAAUGUAACGGGGCUAAAAUUCAUACCGAAGCUUAGGAAUGAUAGUAAUAUUGUUGGUAGAUGAGCGUUGUGUAAGUCUGCGAAGCUACACCGAAAGGAGUAGUGGAGAUAUCACAAGUGAGAAUGCCGGAAUGAGUAGCGAGAAUUAUGUGAGAAUCAUAAUGGUCGAAAAUCUAAGGUUUCUUGAGGAAGGUUCGUCCGCUCAAGGUAAGCCGGGAGCUAAGGCGAGGCCGAAAGGCGUAGUCGAUGCACAUACGGUAAAGAUUCCGUAGCCACCGAAGUCGUUAAAUACAGGGACACAGGAACAUAGCCUAACCCCACCGUUGGUUGAGUGGGGCGUAAGGGAGCGAAAAUUAGUAGCGAAGUAGGUGAUUGUACACUGGCGAGAAAAGCUGUAUGAAUUGACAAGGUGCCCGUACCGCAAACCGACACAGGUAGAUGAGGAGAGAAUCCUAAGGCCAACGGGAGAAGGGUUGUUAAGGAACUCGGCAAAAUUACCCCGUAACUUCGGGAUAAGGGGAGCCCCCUACGCGAGUAGGCCGCAGAGAAUAGUCUCAAGCGACUGUUUAGCAAAAACACAGGUCUAUGCUAAAUCGAAAGAUGAUGUAUAUGGGCUGACGCCUGCCCGGUGCUGGAAGGUUAAGGGGAAGUGUUAGAGCAAUCGAAGCACUGAACUUAAGCCCCAGUAAACGGCGGCCGUAACUAUAACGGUCCUAAGGUAGCGAAAUUCCUUGUCAGGUAAGUUCUGACCCGCACGAAUGGCGUAACGACUUGAGAGCUGUCUCAACAACAUACCCGGCGAAAUUGAAGUACUGGUAAAGAUGCCAGUUACCCGUGAUAAGACGGAAAGACCCCAUGGAGCUUUACUGUAACUUGAUAUUGAAUUUUUGUAUUACAUGUACAGGAUAGGUGGGAGACAGAGAACUAAUGCCGCCAGGUGUUAGGGAGUCGAUGUUGGGAUACCACUCU
rnacentral:rRNA from 1 species